GGUUGAUCCUGCCAGUAGUCAUAUGCUUGUCUUAAAGAUUAAGCCAUGCAUGUCUAAGUGUAAGUGAUUGCACAGCGAAACUGCGAAUGGCUCAUUAAAUCAGUUAUAGUUUACUUGAUUGUGGCUUUCUUACUUGGAUAACCGUAGUAAUUCUAGAGCUAAUACAUGCGCUAAGUCCCGACUUUUCGGAAGGGAUGCACUUAUUAGAUACCAAACUGACCAGGGUACCCCCCUGUUAUUGGUGAAUCAUAAUAAUCCAGCUAACCGUAUGGGCUUGUCCCGACGGUAGAUC
rnacentral:rRNA from 1 species